CAAUAGCGUAUAUUUAAGUUGUUGCAGUUAAAAAGCUCGUAGUCGGAUUUUGGCUGAGAACGAUCGGUCCGCCGUUAGGUGUGCACUGAUUGGUCUCAGCUUCCUGGUGAGGAGGUGUGCUUCACGGCCACUUAGUCACCGUGGUUACUUUGAAAAAAUUAGAGUGUCCAAAGCGGGCUUACGCUUGAAUAUAUUAGCAUGGAAUAACACCAUAGGACUCCUGUCCUAUUUCGUUGGUCACGGGACGGGAGUAAUGAUUAAGAGGAACAGUUGGGGGCAUUCGUAUUUCAUUGUCAGAGGUGAAAUUCUUGGAUUUAUGAAAGACGAACUUCUGCGAAAGCAUCUGCCAAGGAUGUUUUCAUUGA
rnacentral:rRNA from 1 species